ACGAACGCUGGCGGCGUGCUUAUCACAUGCAAGUCGAGCGGUAAGGCCUUUCGGGGUACACGAGCGGCGAACGGGUGAGUAACACGUGAGUAAUCUGCCCUUCACUCUGGGAUAGCCACCGGAAACGGUGAUUAAUACCGGAUAUGACAACUAGCCGCAUGGUUUGGUUGUGGAAAGUUCUGGCGGUGAAGGAUGGGCUCGCGGCCUAUCAGCUUGUUGGUGAGGUAAUGGCUCACCAAGGCUUCGACGGGUAGCCGGCCUGAGAGGGUGACCGGCCACACUGGGACUGAGACACGGCCCAGACUCCUACGGGAGGCAGCAGUGGGGAAUAUUGGACAAUGGGCGAAAGCCUGAUCCAGCAACGCCGCGUGAGGGAUGACGGCCUUCGGGUUGUAAACCUCUUUCAGCAGGGACGAAGCGAAAGUGACGGUACCUGCAGAAGAAGCACCGGCCAACUACGU
rnacentral:rRNA from 1 species